rnacentral:rRNA from 1 species
CGGCCUACCGGCGUCUAUCAUGCAGUCGACGAACUCUGGUAUUGAUUGGUGCUUGCAUCAUGAUUUACAUUUGAGUGAGUGGCGAACUGGUGAGUAACACGUGGGAAACCUGCCCAGAAGCGGGGGAUAACACCUGGAAACAGAUGCUAAUACCGCAUAACAACUUGGACCGCAUGGUCCGAGUUUGAAAGAUGGCUUCGGCUAUCACUUUUGGAUGGUCCCGCGGCGUAUUAGCUAGAUGGUGGGGUAACGGCUCACCAUGGCAAUGAUACGUAGCCGACCUGAGAGGGUAAUCGGCCACAUUGGGACUGAGACACGGCCCAAACUCCUACGGGAGGCAGCAGUAGGGAAUCUUCCACAAUGGACGAAAGUCUGAUGGAGCAACGCCGCGUGAGUGAAGAAGGGUUUCGGCUCGUAAAACUCUGUUGUUAAAGAAGAACAUAUCUGAGAGUAACUGUUCAGGUAUUGACGGUAUUUAACCAGAAAGCCACGGCUAACUACGUGCCAGCAGCCGCGGUAAUACGUAGGUGGCAAGCGUUGUCCGGAUUUAUUGGGCGUAAAGCGAGCGCAGGCGGUUUUUUAAGUCUGAUGUGAAAGCCUUCGGCUCAACCGAAGAAGUGCAUCGGAAACUGGGAAACUUGAGUGCAGAAGAGGACAGUGGAACUCCAUGUGUAGCGGUGAAAUGCGUAGAUAUAUGGAAGAACACCAGUGGCGAAGGCGGCUGUCUGGUCUGUAACUGACGCUGAGGCUCGAAAGUAUGGGUAGCAAACAGGAUUAGAUACCCUGGUAGUCCAUACCGUAAACGAUGAAUGCUAAGUGUUGGAGGGUUUCCGCCCUUCAGUGCUGCAGCUAACGCAUUAAGCAUUCCGCCUGGGGAGUACGGCCGCAAGGCUGAAACUCAAAGGAAUUGACGGGGGCCCGCACAAGCGGUGGAGCAUGUGGGUUUAAUUCGAAGCUACGCGAAGAACCCUUACCAGGGUCUUGACAUACUAUGCAAAUCUAAGAGAUUAGACGUUUCCCUUUCGGGGACAUGGAUACAGGUGGUGCAUGGAUUGUCGUCAGCUCGUGUCGUGAGAUGUUGGGUUUAAGUCCCGCAACGAGCGCAACCCCUAUAUCAGGUUGCCAGCAUUUAGCUGGGCACUCUGGGUGGAGAACUGCCGAUGACCAGCGGAAGUAGCUGGGGGAUGAACGGUCCGAAUCCAAUUCCAAUGUG